rnacentral:rRNA from 1 species
GACAGAGGGUGCAAACGUUGUUCGGAAUUACUGGGCGUAAAGCGCGUGUAGGCAGCCGCGCAAGUCGGAUGUGAAGCCCCGGGCUCAACCUAGGAAGUGCAUUCGAAACUGCGAGGCUGGAGUCCUGGAGAGGAAGGCGGAAUUCUCGGUGUAGAGGUGAAAUUCGUAGAUAUCGAGAGGAACACCGGUGGCGAAGGCGGCCUUCUGGACAGUGACGUGACGCUGAGACGCGAAAGCGUGGGGAGCGAGUCCGG